rnacentral:rRNA from 1 species
AUGAACGCUGGCGGCGUGCCUAAUCCAUGCCAGUCGAGCGAACAGACGAGGAGCUUGCUCCUCUGACGUUAGCGGCGGACGGGUGAGUAACACGUGGAUAACCUACCUAUAAGACUGGGAUAACUUCGGGAAACCGGAGCUAAUACCGGAUAAUAUAUUGAACCGCAUGGUUCAAUAGUGAAAGACGGUUUUGCUGUCACUUAUAGAUGGAUCCGCGCCGCAUUAGCUAGUUGGUAAGGUAACGGCUUACCAAGGCGACGAUGCGUAGCCGACCUGAGAGGGUGAUCGGCCACACUGGAACUGAGACACGGUCCAGACUCCUACGGGAGGCAGCAGUAGGGAAUCUUCCGCAAUGGGCGAAAGCCUGACGGAGCAACGCCGCGUGAGUGAUGAAGGUCUUCGGAUCGUAAAACUCUGUUAUUAGGGAAGAACAAAUGUGUAAGUAACUAUGCACGUCUUGACGGUACCUAAUCAGAAAGCCACGGCUAACUACGUG